rnacentral:rRNA from 1 species
GACGAACGCUGGCGGCGUGCUUAACACAUGCAAGUCGAACGAAGUGGCGAACGGGUGAGUAACGCGUAAUCAACCUGCCCUUCAGAGGGGGACAACAGUUGGCAACGACUGCUAAUAACGCAUACUGAAGGAGGGGAUUGCGUCUGAUUAGCUAGUUGUAGGGGUAACGGCCCACCAAGGCGAUGAUCAGUAGCCGGUCGGAGAGGAUGAACGGCCACAUGGGGACUGAGACACGGCCCAGAAUCCGACGGGAGGAAGCAGUGGGGAAUCUUCCGCAAUGGACGAAAGUCUGACGGAGCAACGCCGCGUGAGUGAUGACGGCCUUCGGGUUGGAAAGCUCUGUUAAUCGGGACGCGGUACCGGAAUAGAAAGCCACGGCUAACUACGUGCCAGCAGCCGCGGUAAUAC